rnacentral:lncRNA from 1 species
UAUAAAAAUACACAAGAAAUAGUAUAUUAUGUAUAUAUACAAAAUGUGUUUAUUUGUAGGAGAAAAAUACAAAUUUUGUUUAAAAAAAAAAAAAUAAAAGAGAAAAAAAGGGCUAAUAAACUUAUGCACUGUACGUGAAUGAAACAUAUAUUUUGUAAUAUGUUGUACAUGCAUAUGUAGAAUUUCUCACAGGUUUAUAUAUUUAUUUUUUGUGAAAAAAAAAAAAUAAAAAAAAAAAAAUCAUACAUUUCUAAACCGUUUAAUAUGUGAAAAAAUAGUCCCCCAAAAUUUUCCGAAAGUUAUAAUAUAUUGCCCCUAAAAACUUUUUUUUCAUUUUUUUUUUUUUAUUUUUUUUAUUUUUUUUAUUUUUUUUUAUUUUUUUACAUGUUACUGAAUUAUGUCUAAUAUAAGAUCAUGAAAUUUUUAAAUUUUGAUAAACCUACUACACACAAUGGACGAAGUGAAGGGAAAACCAAUAUACUACUGGUGUAUGUAAAUUCAAUUCUUUUAUUUUCAAUGUUUUUAUAUGGCCUAAAUUACGUUUUGAUGAAAUAUUAUAUUAUGAUAAAUGGAUCUGUAUACGUUUUUAUAAUUUUAAGAACCAUUCUUACUGUUCCGCUUUUGAUUUACUUAUACUUAUCAAAAAAAGCAGAACCUAAAAAAGAAAAACUAUUGAAUAAUACCAAUAAUAUAUACGCAGAUGAAAAAAAAAACAACAAAAAGUCGUUCACAGUUUAUACAAGAGAAGAUAAUGUACCAAUUCGAACAGAAAAUGAUUAUAAUAGUAUAGAAAAAGAAAAAACUAGUGAUGUGGUGAGUGGUAAAAAUAAAUACAGUAACAAAAAUAGUUGUAACAAUUCCAAUAACAAAAAUGAUAACAAAGCACGAAACAAAUGUGCCUAUAAUACAAAUGAUAAAACAAAAAACGAAAAAUGUGAUAGUUAUUAUGUUUCACUUGAUGAUAGUAAUAUUCAGACAGACGGUACAAACUGUGUUAAAAGUGUAAAAAAUAAAAAUAUGAAUUUUUUGAAAAGAUUAUUUGAUCAUAAUGAAAAGCUAAUACCCAAAAUAGCUUACAUUCCAAUUAUUAUAUUAUCAGUUACAGGAGCGUUUAGACAAGUAAUUGUUAUAUUUGCAUUACAAUAUACAGAUUCACAUAAUGUAGCCAUAAUUCAACCAACAAUACCAAUAUUUACUGCUUUAUUAUCAUGUUAUUUAAAAAUUGAAAAAUUAAAUUAUAUAACAGGAAGCUCUAUACUUUUAUCUUUUUUGGGAUUAGCUAUAACUUCUGAAAUAUGGGAUAUAAAUACAUUUGACAUAGGUUUUUAUAUAUUAUUAGCUGUACCUAUAACUAAAGGGUUACAGGUAAUAUAUAUUAAUAUAGCUGCAAAAUAUGUAAAUAAUAAUAUUAUACUAUUUUGCCAAGUAAUCGUAUUAUUUUUUAUAACAUUACCAUUAGGUAUCAUAGGAGAAAUGUUUAUUCAAAAUAAUUAUAAUUUUUUUAAAGAAAUAUAUAAUAUCACAAUAAACCAGUUUUUAUGUAUUCUUUAUUCUUCUAUUGCUAUUAUAUUUGUAUGUUGGAAAAUUCAAAUUAUUGCGUUAAAACAUUUAACACCUAUUACUGUUUCUUUAUAUCAAUCAUUCCAACCAUGUUUUACUUUUAUAUUGGCUAGCAUUUUUCUAAAUGAACAAAUAAAGUAUAAUAAGUAUAUAGGGUCAGUUCUUAUUAUUAUAUCUUUGAUUUUGUAUCAGUAUGGUUGUAAAAAGUAUGGCACCGGUUAAUUGUUUAUGAGAACGAGCUUAUUUUUUUUGUAACACACUUAUACAUACAACGCAUAUGCAGUAUAUACAUAUAAAAAAAAAAAAAAAAAAAAAAAAAAAAAAAAAAAAUGCGUCAUUAUGUGCGUUUUCAAAUUUGAUGAACAGUUUCAACAAAAAUUGACAUGACGCUAAAUGGUUGUAUUUAUAUAUAUAUGUAUAUAUCUGUGUAUGUGU